rnacentral:lncRNA from 1 species
UCCAAUUCUCAUUUAAAGAGACAAAACAAUUUUGUUCUCAACCUAAUUUGGGCCAAAAUGCAAUUACCACAACCUUUGGGCAAUAUUGCAAAAACAUAAACUUUAUGAAAUAAAUCAAAACUUUGAAUCAAAACACAAAACUUUUUGUUCUUGGCUAAAAUGUCAAGAACAAUGAAGAACAUUCAUGAAAAACUCAAAAAAUUUCCAUGAACAUUUUUCACCCAAAAACAUUCCAAAACCUUCAAAUUCAAACUUUAGGGAAAAAUAACAUAUAACCAAACUAGGGUACAUAGGGGUUCCAAAAGUCACUUUAAAACACUUUUAACAAGUCAAACAAGAACCCAAAAAAUCACCCGAUGUAUUUGGCCGAAUUUUCCCAAAAUCAUGGCACCAAAUUUUAGCUCCAAUAUUCAUGCUCAUAUGAACUACAUCUACAACAUUUGAGAUGGCAAAUUUUCUAACAAAAUUUACAUUCAAAGAAACAAGAAUAAAGCUUGUAACAUAUUACAACAUUUAAAUCAAAACUAUGAACUACAAAACCCAAAAGGAUUCACCAACUACUAGACCUAGGCUCUGAUACCACUUGAAUGAUGAUUUUGUGAAAACAUGUUCAUUUGAAUAACAUCUAUAGCAUGCAUUUAACAAUUAAAAGGCGGAAUCAUGCUUGCAUGCAUUCAAAAACAAAACAUUACCCAUAAAAUUCAAAGCCUAGUAGAUUGGUGAACCAAGACUCAACUCAAAUCAAAGUGAGUUGAGAAAUUAUACCUUUGUAGAUUCCUCUUUGCAUAAGCAAAGGCUAAUCACCCAAAAAGAGGGCCUUCAUUCCUUGCAUCUUAGAUCUAUGGAUUUGGAUGGAUGAAAUGGUUCUCCAAGUUCCCAAAAUUGAGAACCUCUAAGUCUUCACACCAAGGAAAGAUUGAUGAAGAAAUGAGUGACCUUGGAGUAGUAGGAUUGCUAGCUAAUCCCUCCUAGGGGGCCGGCCACUUUAGAGAGAAAGGAGAGCUUUGUGUUCUCUCCAAUUUCCCAGAAACCCUUAAUGAAUUUUGGCUAUAAAGUCAUAUUUAUACAUUAAUUCAUUGGAGUGGCAAACUU